GAUGCGACCACAAGAAUCGAGUCAGAAUCAGCAGCAUAUACCGCAUCUUUUCUAAAAGCACGAUAAAAAAAUGAGCGAAAAAUUGAGGCAGAAAAAGGGAGAUGAUGGGCACAGGAGGAAGCCGAGCCUUGUUGCUCUGUAAAUCGUCGUCGUCGUCUUUGGUUUUAUUACUGCCUUCGUUUUCUUCGACUCAGCAGAGGCUCAAAUCCCUCACACUUCGCAGUCCUUCACUCAGGCUUCGUCGUCUAAUGGCCACGGAUGCUUCAUCAUCGUCCCCUUCGUCGCUCACCAGCUGUGACGGUGCCAAACCUACUGCUUCUUCAAAUGGCGAUGGAGCUGCUGCUUCCUCUUCUACUUCUUCUACUUCUGCUUCCUCUGCCAUUGAUUUUCUCUCUCUCUGCCACCGCCUUAAGACAACGAAAAGAGCUGGAUGGGUGCGGAGAGAUGUUGUUGAUCCAGAAUCAGUAGCGGAUCAUAUGUAUCGAAUGGGAUUAAUGGCUCUCAUAUCUUCCGAUAUUCCCGGUGUCGAUCGUGAAAAGUGUAUAAAAAUGGCAAUUGUUCAUGAUAUUGCAGAAGCCAUUGUUGGGGACAUAACACCUUCAGAUGGGGUCCCAAAGGAGGAGAAGAGUCGACGAGAACAGGAAGCACUAGACCACAUGUGCAAAUUACUUGGUGGAGGGUCAAGAGCUAAAGAAGUAGGAGAUUUGUGGAUGGAAUAUGAGGAGAAUGCUUCACCAGAAGCAAAACUUGUCAAGGACUUUGACAAGGUGGAGAUGAUACUUCAAGCCCUAGAAUAUGAGAAUGAUGCUUUAAAAUUCUCUAAGCACGUAUUUAUGAUUUACUGCUGAUGGUGUCUGUCAUGUUUUGUUCGAGAGCAAGGGAAGGACUUGGAUGAGUUUUUCCGGUCAACUGCUGGGAAGUUCCAGACAGAAACAGGCAAAGCAUGGGCCUCAGAGAUAGCAUCAAGAAGACAAAAAAAGAACUAACUUGUGUCUGUAGUUUCUCUUUCCUCAAGAUUUAAUCAUCCUGACUGCUUUGCAAUGUAGUGGUGGUGGUGCUGCAGAUGAUCUGGAGUUGAAGGUGGUAGCAGUGGUGGCAGCACUAUUGUGGUGUGAGUGCAGUAGUGAAAGAAUAAACCGUAACUACACUCUGCUCGUUCAUCGCAGUCACUUACCAAUGAAAUUGCUCUUAACCAAAAUUUCAAAAUCAAGAUUGAUUGGAAAAAAAAAAAAAAAAAAACAUUAAUAGGUUGUUUAGUUUUCGUUGUACCUAACGGAUCAGAGGUGGUUGAUCUCUAAUAAACUUUAAUACUCAGAUAUUACAAACCUUUGUAAUGCGUAGCCAUUGUGAAUUGUUUUUAGCUGAUUAUAUGUUAAUUGUCUUUACUUUAA